UGUCAUUUAUGUUGUCAAAAAUACUAUACGCAUUAUAAUUCAUAGUAAUUUUACUAUGUGCUUCGUUCGAGUGUUUGUUUUGUACGGGUCAGCCGUUCGCGAUUUCGGAACGCGAAUAAAAAUUGUCGGUUUGUCAGAUCGGGAAAUGUACAUUCCCUCAGAUUUCCCAGAUUGUGUCGUCGACCAGCUGGAAAGGGCCUCAACGAGCCUUUGAAACAACGCACCCGGAGCGGGGCAGCAGAUUAGUCUGGUCGGAAAUUUUUCAGUGUCGGCGAAUGCGCUCGAGUUCCUCAACCUCCCUCGAUUUCGGAUAUUGGACAACGUCGGAGGACAUUGUGACGAAAGCUGCUAACCGGUGAGCUGGCUUAAUUUCAGCACAUCUGCCGGGCCGUUAAAUGCAGGCUUUCAGACGCUAAGUGUGAUGCAACCCAUGUGCCCCAUUCGUGGGUGAUGCUACCACCAUGUCAAUUCAUGCAUAAAGAAAAAUAAUUUGAAUAAAUAAAAAUUUUAAUUUGUAACAAAUGAAUUUUAUUUCGAGGUCUUUAUACAAUGCCGCAUGGUAAUUUUGUGAUGUAUAUCAUGAUAGGGUACUUAUUUUAAUGUGUUAUUACGAUAAUGGAAAAUUGCAA